rnacentral:rRNA from 1 species
AUUGAACGCUGGCGGCGUGCUUAACACAUGCAAGUCGAUCGGUAACAGGUGUAGCAAUACAUGCUGACGAGAGGCGGACGGGUGAGUAAUGCUUGGGAAUCUGCCUAUUAGUGGGGGACGAACCCGGGAAACGUACGGGCGUAAUACCGCAUACGCUCUACGGAGGAAAGCCGGGGACCGGCAAGGCCUGGCGCUAAUAGAUGAGCCCAAGUCGGAUUAGCUAGUUGGUAGGGUAACGGCCUACCAAGGCGACAAUCCGUAGCUGGUCUGAGAGGACGACCAGCCACACCGGAACUGAGACACGGUCCGGACUCCUACGGGAGGCAGCAGU